rnacentral:rRNA from 1 species
CCUACGGGAGGCAGCAGUCGAGAAUCAUGUACAAUGGGGGAAACCCUGAUGGGGCGACGCCGCGUGGGGGAAUGAAGGUCUGCGGAUUGUAAACCCCUGUCAUGUGGGAGCAAAUUAAAAAGAUAGUACCACAAGAGGAAGAGACGGCUAACUCUGUGCCAGCAGCCGCGGUAAUACAGAGGUCUCAAGCGUUGUUCGGAAUCACUGGGCGUAAAGCGUGCGUAGGCUGUUUCGUAAGUCGUGUGUGAAAGGCGCGGGCCCAACCCGCGGACGGCACAUGAUACUGCGAGACUAGAGUAAUGGAGGGGGAACCGGAAGUCUCGGUGUAGCAGUGAAAUGCGUAGAUAUCGAGAGGAACACUCGUGGCGAAGGCGGGUUCCUGGACAUUAACUGACGCUGAGGCACGAAGGCCAGGGGAGCGAAAGGGAUUAGAUACCCGUGUAGUC